UCCACUACAGAUUGAGUGAGGUCUCCCUGA
rnacentral:piRNA from 1 species